GCCGCUCGCCGCAGCCUGAGGGCCCCUCUGCGUGUUCACAGCGGACCUUGAUUUAAUGUCUAUACAAUUAAGGCACGCGGUGAAUGCCAAGAGAGGCGCCUCCGCCGCCCCUUCUCAUG
rnacentral:precursor_RNA from 13 species